GCUCAAAACAUGAAAGUUUCCCUGAAGAACAGAGAAUUCUUCUCUCUGAUGCCCUUCAAGCUAGAAUAUCAUUUUUUCCCUUCUCUCUGGACUUGAACAGAAACAUCAGCUCUCCUGGGUCUCCGGCUUUCCAAGUCACCUUUAGAACUUGGGCCCUGCUGUCUACUGCGCUGCCAGCGGGAGGAGAGUACAGCACAGGCAAAUACGCCCAGAGAAGUGACAAGUGGCCCAGCCACCCCGAUGACGCCUGGGCCUGCCA
rnacentral:lncRNA from 1 species